GAUGAACGCUAGCGGCGGGCUUAAUACAUGCAAGUCAAGGGGUAGCAAUACACCGGCGUACGGGUGCGUAACGCGUAUGGAACCUGCCCUUAUCUGGGGGAUAACCCGGGGAAACUCGAGCUAAUACCGCAUAAUAUAGUAGAGAGGCAUCUCUUAGCUAUUAAAGAUUUAUCGGAUAAGGAUGGCCAUUCGUAAGAUUAGAUAGUUGGCGAGGUAACGGCUCACCAAGUCUACGAUCUUUAGGGGGUCUGAGAGGAGAAUCCCCCACACUGGGACGUAUAUGCGGGCCAUACUCCUGCGGGAGGCAGCAGUAGGGAAUAUUGGGCAAUGGGCGGAAGCCUGACCCAGCCACGCCGCGUGCAGGAAGACUGCCCUCUGGGUUGUAAACUGCUUUUAACUGGGAAGAAAGUAGUCCUUGCGAGGAAAGUUGACGGUACCAGUUGAAUAAGCCACGGCUAACUACGUGCCAGCCGCCGCGGUAACAC
rnacentral:rRNA from 1 species